UAGGGAAUCUUCCGCAAUGGGCGAAAGCUUGACGGAGCAACGCCGCGUGAGUGAUGAAGGUCUUCGGAUCGUAAAACUCUGUUAUUAGGGAAGAACACAUGUGUAAGUAACUAUGCACGUCUUGACGGUACCUAAUCAGAAAGCCACGGCUAACUACGUGCCAGCAGCCGCGGUAAUACGUAGGUGGCAAGCGUUAUCCGGAAUUAUUGGGCGUAAAGCGCGCGUAGGCGGUUUUUUAAGUCUGAUGUGAAAGCCCACGGCUCAACCGUGGAGGGUAAUUGGAAACUGGAAAACUUGAGUGCAGAAGCGGAAAGUGGAAUUCCAUGUAUAGCGGUGAAAUGCGCAGAGAUAUGGAGGAACACCAGUGGCGAAGGCGACUUUCUGGUCUGUAACUGACGCAGAUGUGCGAAAGCGUGGGGAUCAAACAGG
rnacentral:rRNA from 1 species